GGAAGAUUCGAUUGAUUUUUGUUUAUCUUCCAGCAAUGGCGUACAAAGUGUAGCGGCCAGAAAUCGCUAUCGCCGAUGACAAAUAUUUUGCUAUAUUCGCAUCCGCAGUUGAUUUGCAGAUGCUGUCCACUUGCACCUUCUCAACGCUGGAAUCUUCCAAGGGGGGUAGGAGAAUGGAAUUCUUCCAAAAGUUUCAGUUCCCAAGAAAUUUGAAAAUGACGGACGGAAUGCAACUGAUCAAACAAAGGUGCAAGUACCUACUGGGUUCCCUACUUGAACAGAAGAGGUCUCUGACAAUAACUGCAAAUAAUUGGAGUUGUUGAAAGAUGGUCAGGUUGUACCUACGAUUAUUACAUUUGAUCUCCAAGUAUGAGUGCCAAAGAUACUGAUGAUGGCAGCAAAGGAAACUAAUAAUUCCGCAUUUGUGAAAGCAAAUAAUGUUAGAAAUUGUGUAGCACAAAUCUGCAAUAAAUGAGUUUGUACUUGUAAUAAAUGUUUUGUUUUAUUGAAAACAAUGUUAACGAUGCACAAUUGAUAAGUUUAUAUAAUUUUGAUAAAUUUAAAAUUAAUGGUAGUUAUUGUUUAAUGAA